UCUGCUGACAGUCUGCCUGAUGUGGAACC
rnacentral:piRNA from 1 species